UACGUAGGGUGCGAGCGUUUAAUCGGAAUUACUGGGCGUAAAGCGUGCGCAGGCGGGCUUUUAAGCCAGACGUGAAAUCCCCGGGCUUAACCUGGGAAUGGCGUUUGGGACUGGGAGUCUGGAGUGCGGCAGAGGAGACUGGAAUUCCUGGUGUAGCAGUGAAAUGCGUAGAUAUCAGGAGGAACACCGAUGGCGAAGGCAGGUCUCUGGGCUGACACUGACGCUCAUGCACGAAAGCGUGGGGAGCAAACAGG
rnacentral:rRNA from 1 species